rnacentral:rRNA from 1 species
UGCGGAAGGAUCAUUGUCGAUGCCUGCAAAAAAGAACGACCCGCGAACUGUGUUAUCGAUCAUUGUCGGCGGGAGCGCGCGCGGCCUCGCGCAGCGCGUGCACCGUCGAAGCAACAACUAACCCCGGCGCCCUGCGCCAAGGAAUAUUGGAAACUAAGCGCGCCCCUCGGCCGUCCGGAAACGGCUCAGGUCGGGGAGCGUCGCGAGUCUUGUACGCACAAUGACUCUCGGCAACGGAUAUCUCGGCUCUCGCAUCGAUGAAGAACGUAGCGAAAUGCGAUACUUGGUGUGAAUUGCAGAAUCCCGUGAACCAUCGAGUCUUUGAACGCAAGUUGCGCCCGAAGCCAUUAGGCCGAGGGCACGUCUGCCUGGGUGUCACACAUCGUUGCCCUUCCACCACUGUUGCUCGCAUGAGGGCACGGGGGGAUGGGCGGAUUGUGGCCUCCCGUGAGCCUGGCCUCGCGGUUGGCCGAAAAAAGAGUCUUGGGCGGCGAUCGCCACGCUCCUCGGUGGACGAGUGGAACUCGAUACCGGCAGCGCGCGCGUCGUCCCCCGUUCGGGCUCAGAGACCCUCCCGCGUUAGCGAAUCGACGCGACCCCAGGUCAGGCGGGGCUACCCGCUGAGUUUAA